UGGGGAAUAUUGCACAAUGGGCGCAAGCCUGAUGCAGCGACGCCGCGUGCGGGAUGACGGCCUUCGGGUUGUAAACCGCUUUUGAUCGGGAGCAAGCCUUCGGGUGAGUGUACCUUUCGAAUAAGCACCGGCUAACUACGUGCCAGCAGCCGCGGUAAUACGUAGGGUGCAAGCGUUAUCCGGAAUUAUUGGGCGUAAAGGGCUCGUAGGCGGUUCGUCGCGUCCGGUGUGAAAGUCCAUCGCUUAACGGUGGAUCUGCGCCGGGUACGGGCGGGCUGGAGUGCGGUAGGGGAGACUGGAAUUCCCGGUGUAACGGUGGAAUGUGUAGAUAUCGGGAAGAACACCAAUGGCGAAGGCAGGUCUCUGGGCCGUUACUGACGCUGAGGAGCGAAAGCGUGGGGAGCGAACAGGAUUAGAUACCCUGGUAGUCCACGCCGUAAACGGUGGAUGCUGGAUGUGGGGCCCGUUCCACGGGUUCCGUGUCGGAGCUAACGCGUUAAGCAUCCCGCCUGGGGAGUACGGCCGCAAGGCUAAAACUCAAAGAAAUUGACGGGGGCCCGCACAAGCGGCGGAGCAUGCGGAUUAAUUCGAUGCAACGCGAAGAACCUUACCUGGGCUUGACAUGUUCCCGACAGCCGUAGAGAUGCGGCCUCCCUUCGGGGCGGGUUCACAGGUGGUGCAUGGUCGUCGUCAGCUCGUGUCGUGAGAUGUUGGGUUAAGUCCCGCAACGAGCGCAACCCUCGCCCUGUGUUGCCAGCACGUCAUGGUGGGAACUCACGGGGGACCGCCGGGGUCAACUCGGAGGAAGGUGGGGAUGACGUCAGAUCAUCAUGCCCCUUACGUCCAGGGCUUCACGCAUGCUACAAUGGCCGGUACAACGGGAUGCGACAUGGCGACAUGGAGCGGAUCCCUGAAAACCGGUCUCAGUUCGGAUUGGAGUCUGCAACCCGACUCCAUGAAGGCGGAGUCGCUAGUAAUCGCGGAUCAGCAACGCCGCGGUGAAUGCGUUCCC
rnacentral:rRNA from 1 species